GAGUUUGAUCGUGGCUCAGGACGAACGCUGGCGGCGUGCCUAACACAUGCAAGUCGAGCGAAGAAACCCCUUCGGGGUGGAUUAGCGGCGGACGGGUGAGUAACACGUGGGUAACCUACCUCAAGAGGGGAUAGCCUCCCGAAAGGAGAUUAAUACCGCAUAAAAGGUGAAUACCGCAUGGUAAAUACCUUAAGGAGCAAUCC
rnacentral:rRNA from 1 species